UGAAGCUGGGUCGACCACGAUCCAACCCUAAAUACUAAUACCAGAUCGAUAGUGCACAAGUACCGUGAGGGAAAGGUGAAAAGAACUGAGGUGAUCAGAGUGAAAUAGAACCUGAAACCAUUUGCUUACAAUCAUUCAGAGCCCUAUGUAGCAAUACAGGGUGAUGGACUGCCUUUUGCAUAAUGAGCCUGCGAGUUGUGGUGUCUGGCAAGGUUAAGCAAACGCGAAGCCGUAGCGAAAGCGAGUCUGAAUAGGGCGCUUAGUCAGAUGCUGCAGACCCGAAACGAAGUGAUCUAUCCAUGAGCAAGUUGAAGCUAGUGUAAGAACUAGUGGAGGACUGAACCCAUAGGCGUUGAAAAGCCCCGGGAUGACUUGUGGAUAGGGGUGAAAGGCCAAUCAAACUUCGUGAUAGCUGGUUCUCUCCGAAAUAUAUUUAGGUAUAGCGUUGUGUCGUAAUAUAAGGGGGUAGAGCACUGAAUGGGCUAGGGCAUACACCAAUGUACCAAACCCUAUCAAACUCCGAAUACCUUAUAUGUAAUCACAGCAGUCAGGCGGCGAGUGAUAAAAUCCGUCGUCAAGAGGGAAACAACCCAGACUACCAGCUAAGGUCCCUAAAUCUUACUUAAGUGGAAAACGAUGUGAAGUUACUUAAACAACCAGGAGGUUGGCUUAGAAGCAGCCAUCCUUUAAAGAAAGCGUAAUAGCUCACUGGUCUAGUGAUUUUGCGCGGAAAAUAUAACGGGGCUAAAGUAAGUACCGAAGCUGUAGACUUAGUUUACUAAGUGGUAGGAGAGCGUUCUAUUUGCGUCGAAGGUAUACCGGUAAGGAGUGCUGGAGCGAAUAGAAGUGAGCAUGCAGGCAUGAGUAGCGAUAAUUAAUGUGAGAAUCAUUAACGCCGUAAACCCAAGGUUUCCUACGCGAUGCUCGUCAUCGUAGGGUUAGUCGGGUCCUAAGUCGAGUCCGAAAGGGGUAGACGAUGGCAAAUUGGUUAAUAUUCCAAUACCAACAUUAGUGUGCGAUGGAAGGACGCUUAGGGCUAAGGGGGCUAGCGGAUGGAAGUGCUAGUCUAAGGUCGUAGGAGGUUAUACAGGCAAAUCCGUAUAACAAUACUCCGAGAACUGAAAGGCUUUUUGAAGUCUUCGGAUGGAUAGAAGAACCCCUGAUGCCGUCGAGCCAAGAAAAGUUUCUAAGUUUAGCUAAUGUUGCCCGUACCGUAAACCGACACAGGUGGGUGGGAUGAGUAUUCUAAGGCGCGUGGAAGAACUCUCUUUAAGGAACUCUGCAAAAUAGCACCGUAUCUUCGGUAUAAGGUGUGGUUAGCUUUGUAUUAGGAUUUACUCCGAAAGCAAGGAAACUUACAACAAAGAGUCCCUCCCGACUGUUUACCAAAAACACAGCACUCUGCUAACUCGUAAGAGGAUGUAUAGGGUGUGACGCCUGCCCGGUGCUCGAAGGUUAAUUGAUGGGGUUAGCAUUAGCGAAGCUCUUGAUCGAAGCCCGAGUAAACGGCGGCCGUAACUAUAACGGUCCUAAGGUAGCGAAAUUCCUUGUCGGUUAAAUACCGACCUGCAUGAAUGGCGUAACGAGAUGGGAGCUGUCUCAAAGAGGGAUCCAGUGAAAUUGUAGUGGAGGUGAAAAUUC
rnacentral:rRNA from 1 species